GAUGAACGCUGGCGGCGUGCUUAACACCUGCAAGUCGAACGAGUGGCGAACGGGUGAGUAACACGUUGGUGAUCUUCCUUGUACUUCGGGAUAAGCCUGGGCAACUGGGUCUAAUACCGGAUAGUACGUGAUGCGCCCGCGGCCUAUCAGCUUGUUGGUGGGGAAAUUGCUACCAAGGCGCGACGGGUAGCCGGCCUGCGAGGGUGUACGGCCACAUUGGGACUGAGACACUGCCCAGACGCCGACGGGAGGCAACAGUGGGGAAUAUUGGACAAUGGGCGGAAGCCUGAGGCAGCGACGCCGCGUGAGGGAUGACGGCCUUCGGGUGGUAAACCUCUUUCGCUAGGGAAGCGGUACCUGGAUAAGAAGCACCGGCUAACUACGUGCCAGCCGCCGCGGUAAUAC
rnacentral:rRNA from 1 species